GAGCCCCGCCCCACAUUUGAACGGUUUUUCCAGAACGUUCAUCCACAUCAUUACCAGACUUUGCAGAUGGAAGAAGGUGAAUACGGGACAAUGAAGACUUGAACAGGAAGUCACAACAGUCUUCAGGAGCGUGAGGAGAAUCAGCCUUUGUAUGCACAAAUAGCAACGACUUUGGACUAAAAAACAAGACAACUGGCCCUACAGAAUAUAGGAACUUCUGACUGCUGACACAAGGACGUCAGCCAAAAAGCAGUGAAAGAGGACUGUAGCGAUCAGCUGAUGAAGAUUGCCAUCAUCCAUCCGAAUGUGGCAGAGGAAAACCAAGAUCCUGUGUAUGUCUCGGUCAUCAUUGAGGGGACAGAAGUUCUGGAGGACUGCGGAAGUGUGACAAAUGAUUGCCUCUUGCUCAUGGGUGUCAUUUAUGCUGUCAACUUAAGGUACCCAUUGAAACUGGAAUAUACGUUUGAAGUUUUUCAGAAGCUGUUUCUUGAGCUUGACAUCCUUAAAAUGUCACCAAAGGUCCAGUCUCUCCGCAAGAAGCUUAUUGAGUCUGGAGGGAGAGAUGAGAGUUAAAGCAAACAGGAAACAUGCAGCACUUAAAGCAGGACUCUCUCCUGUGUUUCACACCUGUAUACUUGUUACCAGCUUCUUUAUGCUCUCCUUCGAGGACACGUCCACCACAGCCGCCAUGUGAACCUGACCUCUCAGGUCACCUGACAGGCUCCCCAGCGUCUCAUUGGCCGACUCCUCACUGACGUCAGCGACCACCACGGAGGCGCCUUCAGAGGCAAAACGCUGGCAGACCGCCCGUCCAAUCCCACUGCCUCCUCCUGGGUGGAAGAGAGGAGCAUGAAGUCAGAGAGGACGGAUGUCAAAGAAAAUACAAGAGGUUGAGACAUGAAUUAAUGAAGAUUAAUGUCCUCAGAGGACUAACCUGAGCUAAACAUAUUCUUAUUCAGGCCUCCAUGUGCAGUUUAAAAUCCAUUUACAUUUAAAUCACAACCUCAAACAUGACAACAUUUAUCAUUUUAACUGCAUUAAUCUGAUCCAAAUUUAACUUUCAACCAAAACUCAACUCAGUGUGCUUACAUCUUGAAAGGCCAAUAAAAGGACAAAUGACACUGUUUUAUUAUUUAUAUUACAGCUGAAAUGUUUCAUCAAAAAUAAAACAAUGAUUAAUGAUUAAGUGUUUCAACAAUCUAUUAAUCGUUUUAAUGACUCACUGGACAAAACUUCACUGGUUGAUUCACUUUUUCACUUCAGAGUCGAUUUAACUAGAUCACAGUCUGAGGACAGAAGUUUAAGGUUCAAUAAGGGUUUGUAAAGACGAGCGCUGUUCACAGAAAAGAAAGGGGAAACAAAAAAUGGAUUCUAACAUAAAAUUUGUCUGUUUCCCAGAAAAUGUUGUGGAUUUUGACAAAGUGUGUUUUUUACACCUGCCACUUCUUUAUAUUCUUUUUGUCAACAUGUCCACCACAGCUGCUUUUCAUGUGAAUUUAUGAGGCAAUAAUGACCUCAGAGUGAAGACAGAGUUCACCCAGGAGCUUUGGAUACAUUUGAUAAAAAGAAAAUCAAUAAAUGAGGACAGACUGACAAACUGGACAGGAGACAAACUUUAACUAGAGAUGUUUUCAUCACCUCUCUGGUUCAGGCUUCCAUUUAAAAUGUUUUAAUACUAAAAGAAAAUAUUCACCUAAGCACACCUCUUUGUGUCAGCCUUGCAUUGCCACUGAGCUUUUAACAUUAAUCCCUGUACUGAAUCAUUCUGUGCAUUUGAACUGUAUCUGUUGUUAUUCUGCAUCCUGAACCUCCAGCCCAUUUAAUAAUUAACCAGUCAUAAAACAGUCAAAGAUAAGGAUUGAUCGGUGUGGAUUUUGAUAAUUAUUUACUAAUUUUUGUGAUUCAUCAAGCAAAAAUGUUGAAUAUUCACUGUCUGAGGCUUCUCCUACACGAUGAUUUGCUGUAAUUUACAUGACUGGAAAGCACUGUUCCCUCUAAGCUGCGCGCGUGCGCAAUUGCGCACUGCUGACACGGUCUCCGCGCACAGAAAAUCUGCGCUGCACACACAAAAAAAAUCCAACCUAAAUUGUAAAUAAAAUAAACACGUAACAAUUCAUUCUGUGCUAUUUUUCAGUGUGAGUCAGUGAGUGACCGGUGACUGGCUGCUGCAGCCAAUGAUGCGAUUCACAUACGUAUUUACCAUAGACUGUAUAUAAUGGUAUUUACGCAGCUAAUCAACGUCAGGCGUCCUUAUGUGCAGCCACCGUUGUUCUCAUAGAUAUGAAUGAGUAGAUAGGACACGCCCCUUUGAGCUGCGUGCUAUGGCGAGGCUAAGCUAGUGGAGGCAAAGUUUCAGUGCAUUCCGUUGAUGUAGACGGCGUGAAAACGUAAACAAGAAGUAUGUCGGCUCACUGUGCUACAUACAAUUACACACUACAUCGUACGAUUGAGACAAGGAAACUUGGAAUGACUUUUCAUAGGUUUCCCAGAGACUAUGGGUUGAGGAGGAAUUGGAAGUUUGUCGGCUUAGACCUGGUGUCAUUCCAUCAGUGUUAAACUUCCCGGCUCAUCUUGGAAGAGUACGUGCCAGAAAGACCACGACCAAGCAGCCUUGAGAUCUUAGGCAGCGUCUCCCUGAGGUCCCUCUCUAUCUCCCCACACAUCCACCAACCACUGGAACACAUCUCCAAAGUUCUGCCGGGCCAGCUCAGCUUCCCCUCAGAAGAAGUGCUGCCACCUGCCAGAUGAAGGAGCCUUUUGAGAGGCAGCUGGCAUCGUGAUUGGACUGUACUUUGGUCUGUUCCAAUCCAGCUUCAGUUCCAGAGACGGCAGGCGGGACGAGUCAACGGAGGCCGGGUGGACGAAGGCAUGCAGCUGAGUACAAUCCAGAAAACAACAGAGGAGGAGUGCAGCGACCCAGAGCCAGAACAACCAGAGUAGCAUGACUAAAGAACUACAGACUCUUCACAACCUGCUCAAACUCUUGGUACAGGACCUCACCACACGGGUCAAGAAGGUUUCUGUCUCAUUUCUACUCUGAAGCUCACCUUCUCUUGCUCAAACUGCUGACAAAUGUUUCUGCUGCUCUAAAGUCUGGUCUCCAGAACUUCCUAAAAACUCUUAAAGUCUCUUCUGCUGCAGGUUGCUUUGUAGAACUGUUCCAGAAAACCUCACUAAACCACAUGGAGGGGCCUCAAGAUAGUCGUCCAAAUGAAACCGUACAAAAACCAAACUAGCACAACCCAAAUGCUAAAGUCUCCUGCAGCCUACCAGAGAACCUCUGAGAACAGAGAAUCAGGACAGGAACUCUUACCUUCUGGACAACCAACCUUGGUUCUCAAAGAGGAAUACAGAAUGUGUCUGACCAAAAACCUCUGAAGACUCACUACAGCCAAGAUAAAGACACAACUCAGCUGUACCAAAUCCACUAAUCACUGCACACAUUAACACCAUGUGCUAACUGUGGUUAAAGAACCACAUUUACUAAGACAACUAUCCAGUACAAAGCCCUCAAACACACCAAGAAACACAUUAAAGACGAUUUUACUGCUGGAAGCUGCAAGUCAACACCUAAAGAACAAACUAAAGCAAAGGAACCAAACCCGGUUCAGUGCUGAAGAGAAACAGAGGAAAUGUUUGUCUGCAGCUAAAUAAAGCAGGAAGACACUGAGCUGCUCAGGUGUUCCUGAUAACACCAAGCAGCCACCUGGACAGCCAAUAGGAACGCAGCUUCCUGGAAGUCCAGAGGGCGGGGUUAGGGAAGGAAAUUUAGUUUAAAGUUGAAGCAGAAAGUUAAUAAAGAAAGUUGAAAACCACCUUCUGAUCCCUGAAAUCUCAGAGUUUUCACACAAAGAACACCUGAACAUGUCAAACUGGUUCCAUAGUAGAACCAUCAUUGUAAAAAUGUCAUAGUAUGGUCUGUUGCUCAAAAAACAUUACGACCCGGCUGUCAGGGGACAAACAUGUAAGAAACAUGAGAACAGAGAGAACCCAACCAGUAGGUCACAGUUUAUCAUCAUCUAAUCAUCUCCUGAAGUCCAUAUGGUGAGAGACAUCAGUAUCUGGUUGUUAAUUUACCAGAGGAUGCUUAUAAUCAUGCUGAUGUGGUCUGUACUCUACAGUAUUUUAGUGACUCAAUAAAUGCCUAAGUUGUUUUUUUUAAAUGCUUUUUAGUUUUUAAUAAACAUUUAACAGCCUAUAUGUAAUCAAUAAAUGGUCUUUGUCUAUCUUAAGAAAAACUCACUCAGAACUCUGAUAUGUUAACAGUACUAAAUAAAUCAAUAAAUACAUGCAUACACACAAAAAUAAGUUAAUACAUUAACUGUGUUAAGAUAAGAUUUAGAUUUUUUAAAAAGUUGUUUAUGUUUUUGCAGAAUCCAGUAUUGCUCACUGGUUGGUCAUUACAUUUUGUUAGUUUGAUUUCACUGUUUAAAAUGAUGCCACCUCUUUUCAGACAAAACCUGUGAUAAUAAAACAAUACAAAAUGUUUAGUUCUGUGUUAAUAAAGCACUUAAAGCUUUAA